CCUACGGGGGGCAGCAGUGAGGAAUAUUGGUCAAUGGACGGAAGUCUGAACCAGCCAUGCCGCGUGCAGGAAUACGGCUCUAUGAGUUGUAAACUGCUUUUGUACAAGGGUAAACCUGAAUACGUGUAUUCAGCUGAAAGUACUGUACUAAUAAGGAUCGGCUAACUCCGUGCCAGCAGCCGCGGUAAUACGGAGGAUCCAAGCGUUAUCCGGGUUUAUUGGGUUGAAAGGGUGCGUAGGCGGAUUGAUAAGUUAGAGGUGAAAUGUCCGAGCUUAACUCGGGAACGGCUUAUAAUUCUGUGGAUCUAGAGAGUAGAUGCGGUAGGCGGAAUGUAUGGUGUAGCAGUGAAAUGCUUAGAGAUCAUACAGAACACCGAUUGCGAAGGCAGCUUACCAAUCUAUAUCUGACGUUGAGGCACGAAAGCGUGGGGAGCAAACAGGAUUAGAUACCCUAGUAGUC
rnacentral:rRNA from 1 species